rnacentral:rRNA from 1 species
AUACGGAGGGUGCAAGCGUUGUUCGGAAUCACUGGGCGUAAAGGGCGCGCAGGCGGUUUGGUAAGUCAGAUGUGAAAGCCCAUGGCUCAACCAUGGAAGUGCAUUUGAAACUGUCAGACUUGAGUACUAGAGGGGAAAGUGGAAUUCCCGGUGUAGAGGUGAAAUUCGUAGAUAUCGGGAGGAAUACCGGUGGCGAAGGCGACUUUCUGGCUAGAUACUGACGCUGAGGCGCGAAAGCGUGGGGAGCAAACAGGAUUAGAUACCCUUGUAGUCC